CAUCCCUCAAUUUCAACAUUCGGUAAAGUCUCAUCUUUGAAACAUACAAAAAACUUUCUAUUCACAAUGAACCGUAUCGAGGUCAACCGAUUACGAAUAAUUACCCAAGCAUGUAAAAUACCAGGAACAUCGGUUUCUCGUAUUUGUAAAAUAUGCCAUAAAUUUUCAAACAUAACUUCAGCAGAAGAUUGUAAAACAUUGGUGAAUUGCCUUGAUUGAAACCCAAUUAAAUGU